CUGAGUUUGAUCCUGGCUCAGAACGAACGCUGGCGGCAGGCUUAACACAUGCAAGUCGAGCGAGAUCUUCGGAUCUAGCGGCGGACGGGUGAGUAACGCGUGGGAACGUGCCCUUUGCUACGGAAUAGUCCCGGGAAACUGGGUUUAAUACCGUAUACGCCCUUCGGGGGAAAGAUUUAUCGGCAAAGGAUCGGCCCGCGUUGGAUUAGGUAGUUGGUGGGGUAAUGGCCUACCAAGCCGACGAUCCAUAGCUGGUUUGAGAGGAUGAUCAGCCACACUGGGACUGAGACACGGCCCAGACUCCUACGGGAGGCAGCAGUGGGGAAUCUUAGACAAUGGGGGCAACCCUGAUCUAGCCAUGCCGCGUGAGUGAUGAAGGCCUUAGGGUUGUAAAGCUCUUUCAGCUGGGAAGAUARNGACGGUACCAGCAGAAGAAGCCCCGGC
rnacentral:rRNA from 1 species